UCGAAACCUGCACAGCAGAUUGACUAGCGAACAUGUUUAACAUGCAUGGGGUGGGGGAUGACUUGACCUGUUGAGUUUCCCCUUCCCCCAUGGCUUGGGGGAUUUGCCUUCGGUGAGUCCCUUGAGCACAAUAACGAACCCCGGCACUUCGAGUGCCAAGGAACAUCAAUACAUUGUGCGCUUGCUCCUUGCUCGGUUCUCCGAUUAUAGGAYGCGGCGUGUCAAGUUUAAUACUAAAACGACUCUCGGCAACGGAUAUCUCGGCUCUCGCAUCGAUGAAGAACGUAGCGAAAUGCGAUACUUGGUGUGAAUUGCAGAAUCCCGUGAACCAUCGAGUCUUUGAACGCAAGUUGCGCCCGAAACCUUCUGGUCGAGGGCACGUCUGCCUGGGCGUCACGCAUCGCGUCUCCCCCUACUGCGGCAAUUGGUGGUGGACAAGGCGUAUGCCUCGAAUGCAAUCUUGUGUCGUGUAGUGCAUAGCAAUUGUGGGCUCGUAGGACCCUUAGUUGUUCCCAUUGGGAAACAAACCG
rnacentral:rRNA from 1 species